rnacentral:tRNA from 1 species
AAAGGUGCAGCUCAGUGGCAGAGCACUUGCCUAGCAUGUGUGAGGCACUGGGUUCAAUCCUCAGCACCUCAU